rfam:Candidatus Aminicenantes bacterium RBG_19FT_COMBO_58_17 rbg_19ft_combo_scaffold_1823, whole genome shotgun sequence.
AGCCUGUUCUUUGAUAAGAGAGUUCAGGGUUUAGAGCGCUGGGAAGUCCGUGGGAUGCGGACACAGCCCCCGCUACUGUAACCGGGGACGAAUCCCAGAGGACGCCACUUUCGGCCGCCGCGUCGAAAGGAAGGCCUGGGAGGAGGACGAUCCGGGAGUCAGGAGACCUCCUUUAAGCCCUCGACAGCC